rnacentral:rRNA from 1 species
UGGGGAAUUUUGCGCAAUGGGGGAAACCCUGACGCAGCAACGCCGCGUGGAGGAUGAAGGUCUUUGGAUUGUAAACUCCUUUCGAUCGGGACGAUGAUGACGGUACCGGAAGAAGAAGCACCGGCUAACUCCGUGCCAGCAGCCGCGGUAAGACGGAGGGUGCUAGCGUUGUUCGGAAUCACUGGGCGUAAAGGGCGCGUAGGCGGCCUUUGGUGUCGGAUGUGAAAGCCCGGGGCUCAACUCCGGAGGUGCAUCCGAAACUCGAAGGCUGGAGGCCGGAAGAGGAGGGUGGAAUACCCAGUGUAGAGGUGAAAUUCGUAGAUAUUGGGUGGAACACCGGUGGCGAAAGCGGCUCUCUGGUCCGGUCCUGACGCUGAGGCGCGAAAGCGUGGGGAGCAAAC